UCGGGAAUUUUGGGCAAUGGGCGAAAGCCUGACCCAGCAACGCCGCGUGAAGGAUGAAAUCCUUCGGGAUGUAAACUUCGCAAGAACGGGAAGAAUAAGUAAGAGCUAACAUCUCUUACGAUGACGGUACUGUUUGUAAGCUCCGGCUAACUCCGUGCCAGCAGCCGCGGUAAUACGGGGGGAGCAAGCGUUGUUCGGAUUUACUGGGCGUAAAGGGCGCGUAGGCGGCCACCGCAAGUCGACUGUGAAAUCUCUGGGCUUAACCCAGAACGGUCAGCCGAUACUGCGGGGCUAGAGUGCAGAAGGGGCAACUGGAAUUCUCGGUGUAGCGGUGAAAUGCGUAGAUAUCGAGAGGAACACCUGCGGCGAAGGCGGGUUGCUGGGCUGACACUGACGCUGAGGCGCGAAAGCUAGGGGAGCGAACGGGAUUAGAUACCCCGGUAGUCCUAGCCUUAAACGAUGAAUGCUUGGUGUCUGGGGUUUUAUAGUCCCCGGGUGCCGUCGCUAACGCUUUUAGCAUUCCGCCU
rnacentral:rRNA from 1 species